ensembl:lncRNA
UGAGUGUGUUGGAGUGUGAGGGACAGAUGGACAGAGAGGGUUUCAGAUUACAGCUGCAGCUUCACACCUCGACGUGAAGGGGACCGUCCAGGAGGGAGACGAGCCUGGAUCAGUACCUUCUUCUCAGUGAGAAGAGGACGUGUUCUCCUGAUGUUGUAGAGCGAGUAUCUACAGGAUGGUGCUGUAGUGAUGUUGAGAGUCGGCUGUCGACGUCACGCCGAGGUUCCUGCAGUCAGAGUGGACGUUAACACGGAGUCGACCCUCAGGUCCCGUGUAGGAGAACCUUUCAGUCGGGGUUGAUCCAUCCGAUGCCUUCACCAUGAAUACAGCGUUAGCAGCUGAAGGUCGUCGGACUUCACGUCUUCGUCGUCCGCGCCCGAAUCCCCCCGGUACUUCUUGUCCCGCUGAUCGGGGUCCACGUAGGUGUAGAAAUGCGCCAUGAAGGAGAACACGAAGAAGACGGCCAGCAGCAGGCCGGCGAACAGCAGGAACUCCUUCCACUGGAUCGAGAGGUCAAGGGUUAGGGCGGACUGGGAGAGGAGCCAAUCACCAGUGGGCAGUUUUAGAACAGGAAGUACACGUCCUGAUCCUCCAUCCUCAUCCCUCCCAUCUCACGCCGUCUUACCUGUUCAAGCCCCGCCCCUUCAGCCACGAUCAACACGAUCACGUUGCCAAACGCCACGGAGAACUCCAGGCCCGUGAUGGAGAACAUGACCUCCCCCAUGGUGAGGAGGACGUACUGGGGGAUCUGCCAGGCGAUGUGCACGUCGUUGGCCUCUACGUCCUCCAUCUUGUGAGCCACGACCUUCCC